GAUGAACGCUGCCGGCGUGCCUACUACAUCCAAGCCGACCGAACAGACGAGGAGCUUGCUCUUCUGACGUUAGGGGCGGACGGGUGAGUCUAAGGUGGACAACCUACCUUUAAGACUAGGAUAACUUCGGGAAACCAGCGCUACUAACGGACCAUAUCUUGAAUCGCAUGGUUCAAUAGUGAAAGACGGUUAUUCUGUCACUUAUAGAUGGAUCUGCGCCGCAUUAGCUAGUUGGUAAGGUAACGGCUUCCCAAGGCAACGAUGCGUAGCCGACCUGAGAGGGUGAGCGGCCACACGGGAACUGAGACACGGUCCAGACUCCUACGGGAGGCAGCAGUAGGGAAUCUUCCACAAUGGGCGAAAGCCUGACAGAGCAACGCCGCGUGAGUGAUGAAGGUCUUCGGAUCGUAAAGCUCUGUUAUUAGGGAAGAACAAAUGUGUAAGUAACUAUGCACGUCUUGACGGUACCUAAUCAGAAAGCCACGGCUAACUACGUG
rnacentral:rRNA from 1 species